rnacentral:rRNA from 1 species
GAUGAACGCUGGCGGCGUGCUUAACACAUGCAAGUCGAACGAGACCUCCGGGUCUAGUGGCGCACGGGUGCGUAACGCGUGGGAAUCUGCCCUUGGGUUCGGAAUAACUCGCCGAAAGGCGUGCUAAUACCGGAUGAUGUCGUAAGACCAAAGAUUUAUCGCCCAGGGAUGAGCCCGCGUAAGAUUAGGUAGUUGGUGAGGUAAAGGCUCACCAAGCCGACGAUCUUUAGCUGGUCUGAGAGGAUGAUCAGCCACACUGGGACUGAGACACGGCCCAG